GACGAACGCUGGCGGCGUGCUUAACACAUGCAAGUCGAACGGAAGGGCCCUGCUUUUGUGGGGUGCUCGAGUGGCGAACGGGUGAGUAACACGUGAGUAACCUGCCCUAGACUUUGGGAUAACUUCAGGAAACUGGGGCUAAUACCGUAUAGGAUCUCCUGCUGCAUGGUGGGGGUUGGAAAUUUUCGGCGGUUGGGGAUGGACUCGCGGCUUAUCAGCUUGUUGGUGGGGUAGUGGCUUACCAAGGCUUUGAAGGGUAGCCGGCCUGAGAGGGUGACCGGCGACCUUGGGACUAAGAUACGGCCCAGUCUGCUACGGGAGGCAGCAGUGGGGAAUCUUGCACAAUGGGAGGAAGUCUGAUGCAGAAACGCCGCGUGCGGGAUGACGGCCUUCGGGUUGUAAACCGCUUUCGCCUGUGACGAAGCGUGAGUGACGGUAAUGGGUAAAGAAGCACCGGCUAACUACGUG
rnacentral:rRNA from 1 species